AGAUUAAGCUCACCACAUAAUAAGAACAUCACCUCAUUUUUAAUGGGAGCACUGGCAACAAGCUUGGAAUUGCACAAUGAAGGCCUUGAUAAAAAUUGCUUUGUGGCCUGCAAGACAUUACCAGAACUAGCCGGUGUGGCCGCAUGCGGCACGGAGUGACCAGAGGAAGAGGCUCUUGGAGCGUACUGGCUUUGGACAAGUGGGCUUCUGAAGGGGAUCACCACUGACAUGAUGUCAGAUGAAGAAGAUAAUGCCGUUGAUGGAGUGCUGGGUGGAUUGUGAGACCUUCAUCAUUCUGCAGCCAGGCCCUCAGCAAUCUGUCUGCUAAGCUGCAGGUGCAACCGUGUGUGUUCAAACUAUGCAGCAUUGCAUCGCAAACUGCAAUCUGAAUUGCUGUCUAACAGAAUGCCACCGCUUACCUAUGACCCUGAGGCAGCAAAAAGGCAUUUGAUGCCAAAUGUGAUCCCAAGAACAUAAUCUCUGGCUAUAUUUGACUUUUUGUGUGUUUUUGUAAUUGCUAGUGAUUAAUUUAUGUGCUUCCUUUAGUGGUUAAAACUUUUGUUUUGCCAAUGGGUUGUUUGGGUGUCUGUGACAUGAAUAAAAACAUAUGGGGCGGUUUCCCAGACAGAGUUUAGAUUAACCCAGGACUAGGCCUUAAUUAUAUUAGGACAUUUAAGUAGCUUUUACAAACAAACCUUACCAAAAAAUGCUUGGGUGCAUUCUGUGACAAAACAGUGGCACUGAUAUAUGAUGUU